GCAGAGCUCGUAGCUUUCCGUAUGAAUCCUCAUUAUUUCUCCAUUAAUUUCAUCCGAGUUCCGGUACUCUUCACAUAUCUCUUUGCGAAGAGCAUCAGUCAAAGGAGGCCCAAGGUCCCGAAGAGCCUUGAGUUCUCGAAUUUCUUGUUCGAGCUGCUGCCGUAUAUUCAUCUGACGGGUUUCUUCCCGCUCCAGCUUAUGGAUCGUCUUGGUCAAGAUCUUAGCGUCAGCCUUCAGCUCCUUGAUCUUGUUCGUCCUUAGUUCACUCCUCUGAACCAAGUCGACGUUCCUAUUAACGAUUUCAG
rnacentral:lncRNA from 1 species